rnacentral:rRNA from 1 species
CCAGCAGCCGCGGUAAUACGGAGGGGGUUAGCGUUGUUCGGAAUUACUGGGCGUAAAGCGCGCGUAGGCGGAUUAGAAAGUUGGGGGUGAAAUCCCGGGGCUCAACCCCGGAACUGCCUCCAAAACUGCUAGUCUAGAGUUCGAGAGAGGUGAGUGGAAUUCCGAGUGUAGAGGUGAAAUUCGUAGAUAUUCGGAGGAACACCAGUGGCGAAGGCGGCUCACUGGCUCGAUACUGACGCUGAGGUGCGAAAGUGUGGGGAGCAAACAGGAUUAGAUACCCUGGUAGUCCACACCGUAAACGAUGAAUGCCAGUCGUCGGGUAGUAUACUAUUCGGUGACACACCUAACGGAUUAAGCAUUCCGCCUGGGGAGUACGGUCGCAAGAUUAAAACUCAAA